rnacentral:lncRNA from 1 species
ACACUGACAGGUGUGUGUGACACUGACAGGUGUGUGUGACAGGUGUGUGUGACACUGACAGGUGUGUGUGACAGGUGUGUGACAGGUGUGACACAGGUGUAUCCAGGUGUAUCCAGGUGUGCCCAGGUGUACCCAGCUGUGCCCCAGGUGUAUCCAGCUGUACCCAGGUGUGCUCAGGUGUACCCAGGUGUCCCCAGGUGUGCCCAGAUGUAUCCCAGGUGUACCCAGGUGUGCCCCAGGUGUACCCAGGUAUGCCCAGGUGUGCCCCAGGUGUGCCCAGGUGUGACCCAGGUGUCCCCA